AGAACUUAGCAGAGAUGCUUUGGUGCCUUCGGGGAACUCUGAGACAGGUGCUGCAUGGCUGUCGUCAGCUCGUGUUGUGAAAUGUUGGGUUAAGUCCCGCAACGAGCGCAACCCUUAUCCUUUGUUGCCAGCGGUUAGGCCGGGAACUCAAAGGAGACUGCCAGUGAUAAACUGGAGGAAGGUGGGGAUGGCGUCAAGUCAUCAUGGCCCUUACGAGUAGGGCUACACACGUGCUACAAUGGCGCAUACAAAGAGAAGCGACCUCGCGAGAGCAAGCGGACCUCAUAAAGUGCGUCGUAGUCCGGAUUGGAGUCUGCAACUCGACUCCAUGAAGUCGGAAUCGCUAGUAAUCGUGGAUCAGAAUGCCACGGUGAAUACGUUCCCGGGCCUUGUACACACCGCCCGUCACACCAUGGGAGUGGGUUGCAAAAGAAGUAGGUAGCUUAACCUUCGGGAGGGCGCUUACCACUUUGUGAUUCAUGACUGGGGUGAAGUCGUAACAAGGUAGGCGUAGUGCU
rnacentral:rRNA from 1 species